rnacentral:rRNA from 1 species
UACGUAGGGCGCAAGCGUUGUCCGGAAUUACUGGGCGUAAAGCGCACGUAGGUGGCUUGAUAAGUUGGGUGUGAAAUCCCCGGGCUUAACCUGGGAAUUGCAUUCAAGACUGUCUUGCUAGAGUGUGGAAGAGGGAAGCGGAAUUCCAGGUGUAGCGGUGAAAUGCGUAGAUAUCUGGAGGAACAUCAGUGGCGAAGGCGGCUUCCUGGUCCAACACUGACACUGAGGUGCGAAAGCGUGGGGAGCAACAGG